rnacentral:rRNA from 1 species
CCAAAAUUGAAGCCAUCAUAUUCAGCGCCUCCACCUUCUCUUCCAUUCCCGUAGCAACCCCUGCCCUCUUCCUUUCCCCUGUCUCCAAGGAAACUCCAUGAACUUUGAAGCUCCAUGGACACCGAUGCUCGAUCCCGAGAACUCGUACCAUCUCUAUCCGAAUCCUUGUGCCAUAAAAUCCUCCUCCAUGCCACGAUUCCAUUCAGGGAAGAAGAAACACGAUCCGUCAACCACACACGAAGAAUUCUGCAUGUCCGCGGACACUGUUCAUCAAGUUCGUCGCACCGUUCCAUCAAACUCGGGAGUGACAAUGAUGUUGGACAUGGAUAGAAACAGGUUACUGAAGAUGGACUCAACAAUGAAG